AUAAGGAUAUGGAAGGAGAAGAGAACAAGCAGGGGAUCAAGGACCUAUUUCAAGAAAUAAUGACUGAAAACUUCCCUCAUCUGAUGAAGGAUAAAGACAC